rnacentral:rRNA from 1 species
CCGAAUGGGGAAACCCACUGCUUCGGCAGUAUCCUGCAGUGAAUUCAUAGCUGCUGGAAGCGAACCCGGUGAACUGAAAUAUCUAAGUAACCGGAGGAAAAGAAAUCAACCGAGAUUCCCUAAGUAGUGACGAGCGAACGGGGAGCAGCCCUUAAGCUGGAAUGGCUUUAGAAAAACAAUCUGGAAAGAUUGGCCAUAGAAGGUGAUAGCCCUGUAUUUAAAAGGGCCACUCCAGUGAAGACGAGUAGGGCGGGGCACGUGAAACCCUGUCUGAAUAUGGGGGGACCAUCCUCCAAGGCUAAAUACUCCUGACCGACCGAUAGUGAACCAGUACCGUGAGGGAAAGGCGAAAAGAACCCCGGAGAGGGGAGUGAAAUAGAUCCUGAAACCGUGUGCGUACAAGCAGUAGGAGCUCGCAAGAGUGACUGCGUACCUUUUGUAUAAUGGGUCAGCGACUUACUGUUCGUGGCAAGCUUAACCGUAUAGGGGAGGCGAAGGGAAACCGAGUCUGAUAAGGGCGCAUAGUCGCGGGCAGUAGACCCGAAACCGGGUGAUCUAGUCAUGGCCAGGGUGAAGGUGCCGUAACAGGUACUGGAGGCCCGAACCCACGUCUGUUGCAAAAGACGGGGAUGAGCUGUGAUUAGGAGUGAAAAGCUAAUCGAACCCGGAGAUAGCUGGUUCUCCUCGAAAGCUAUUUAGGUAGCGCCUCAUAUGUAUCCUCUCGGGGGUAGAGCACUGUUAUGGCUAGGGGGUCAUCGCGACUUACCAAACCAUUGCAAACUCCGAAUACCGAGACGGACUGUAUGGGAGACACACGGCGGGUGCUAACGUCCGUCGUGAAAAGGGAAACAACCCAGACCCACAGCUAAGGUCCCAAAUUCACUGCUAAGUGGAAAACGAUGUGGAAAGGCAUAGACAGCCAGGAGGUUGGCUUAGAAGCAGCCACCCUUUAAAGAAAGCGUAAUAGCUCACUGGUCGAGUCGGUCUGCGCGGAAGAUUUAACGGGGCUAAGCAGUGAACCGAAGCUUGGGGUGCAUAAAACUUGUUUUAUGCGCGGUAGAGGAGCGUUCCGUAAGCCUGCGAAGGUGGAUUGAGAAGUCUGCUGGAGGUAUCGGAAGUGCGAAUGCUGACAUGAGUAACGAUAAUGCGGGUGAAAAGCCCGCACGCCGAAAGCCCAAGGUUUCCUUGCGCAACGUUAAUCGACGCAGGGUUAGUCGGUCCCUAAGGCGAGGGCGAAAGCCGUAGUCGAUGGGAAGCAGGUUAAUAUUCCUGCACCUCGCGUGAGUGCGAUGGAGGGACGGAGAAGGUUAGGUGUACCGGGCGUUGGUUGCCCCGGGGAAAGGCGGUAGGUUUGGAUCUUUGGCAAAUCCGGGAUCCUUUAAGACCGAGCACCGAGACGAGCCUUUAUGGCGAAGUCACUGAUACCACGCUUCCAGGAAAAGCUCCUAAGCUUCAGCUCACGAAGACCGUACCGUAAACCGACACAGGUGGGUAGGAUGAGAAUUCUCAGGCGCUUGAGAGAACUCGGGUGAAGGAACUAGGCAACAUGGCACCGUAACUUCGGGAGAAGGUGCACCCUUUUUGGUGGCUCGUGCGAGCUAUAGCUGAAGAGGGUCGCAGAAACCAGGCCGCUGCGACUGUUUAUCAAAAACACAGCACUCUGCAAACACGAAAGUGGACGUAUAGGGUGUGACGCCUGCCCGGUGCUGGAAGGUUAAUUGAUGGGGUCAGCCGCAAGGCGAAGCUCUUGAUCGAAGCCCCAGUAAACGGCGGCCGUAACUAUAACGGUCCUAAGGUAGCGAAAUUCCUUGUCGGGUAAGUUCCGACCUGCACGAAUGGCGUAACGACAGCGGCGCUGUCUCCACCCGAGACUCAGUGAAAUUGAAAUCGCUGUGAAGAUGCAGCGUUCCCGUGGCAAGACGGAAAGACCCCGUGAACCUUUACUAUAGCUUUACACUGAACGUUGAGUUCGUCUGUGUAGGAUAGGUGGGAGGCUAUGAAACUGUGGCGCUAGCUGCAGUGGAGCCAUCCUUGAAAUACCACCCUGUCGUGCUUGACGUUCUAACCUAGGUCCGUUAUCCGGAUCAGGGACCGUGUAUGGUGGGUAGUUUGACUGGGGCGGUCUCCUCCUAAAGAGUAACGGAGGAGCACGAAGGUACGCUCAGCGCGGUCGGACAUCGCGCACUGUGUGCAAAGGCAUAAGCGUGCUUGACUGCAAGAUCGACGGAUCAAGCAGGUACGAAAGUAGGUCUUAGUGAUCCGGUGGUUCUGUAUGGAAGGGCCAUCGCUCAACGGAUAAAAGGUACUCCGGGGAUAACAGGCUGAUACCGCCCAAGAGUUCAUAUCGACGGCGGUGUUUGGCACCUCGAUGUCGGCUCAUCACAUCCUGGGGCUGUAGUCGGUCCCAAGGGUAUGGCUGUUCGCCAUUUAAAGUGGUACGCGAGCUGGGUUCAGAACGUCGUGAGACAGUUCGGUCCCUAUCUGCCAUGGGCGUUGGAAGUUUGAGAGGGGCUGCUCCUAGUACGAGAGGACCGGAGUGGACGAACCUCUGGUGUUCCGGUUGUCACGCCAGUGGCAUUGCCGGGUAGCUAUGUUCGGAAGCGAUAACCGCUGAAAGCAUCUAAGCGGGAAGCGCGCCUCAAGAUGAGACUUCCCGGGGCACAAGCCCCCUAAAGGAACCAUGUAGACUACGUGGUUGA